rnacentral:tRNA from 1 species
GACCGCGUAGCUCAGUUGGAAGAGCAUUGGGCUGGUAUUCCAAAGGUCGUAGGUUUGAAUCCCACCGUGGCCG